CAGACUGGUUGGGGUUGGAAGUGACCUCUAGAAAUCACCUAGUCUAACCCUGCUGCUAAAGCAGGUUCAACAGCAGCAGGACACUGCACAAGAUCACACCCAGAAAAACGAAGUGAAAACAUUGAAAGAAGGAGAUAUUGUCAGUGGAAACGCUGCUGUCACCACUGUCAGUUGCUAACACAGGAGAAAGAACUAAUCACAAAUCUACAGCCAGUAGGGAGAAAGAAUUGUAAGUGUCAAUACUACAUUAUGUGGAAACUUCAUCUUGCUUUCAGAGACAUUCAUAGCUGUUCAAUUGAAUUUACCUGUCUGAGAAGUGAUAUCAGAGGAAAAAGAAUAGGGAAUCAGUCUCUUCACACUGAAAAAAUCUUCAAAAACCAGGUAUUUUUACUCUGGACGAGGGCAGGACAUCAUCCUGAUGACAUCCUGGCGGGACUGGAUGUUAUGCAGCCUGUGCAGAGAAGUUAGAUACAAAGGGAAGAGGCCUGAGAAGAAGUAAUGGAGGCCUGUCUCCAGCUCUUUACCUUUCUCCUUCCCAUGCCUGUACACCUGAGAAGCCUUGAGUCAGCUACGUGCUUCAUGAAAUAUCAGCAACACCUUUGGAUCUUGAGUUCAGAG